CCAGGCGUCGGCCCCGGGCUCACAGCCCACGAAGUUCCACCUGCCCACAGGUUGGCUGGCUCAACCAAGGAGGUCCCUCUGCUCUGAGCAUCCGGGCCAGUUCCAUCCAGCACCAUGGCCAGAUACAUAUGCUGCCGUAGCCACAGCCGGAGCAGAUGCCGCCGCCGGAGACGCAGAUGCCGCAGACGGAGGAGGCGGUGCUGUCGGAGGCGGAGAAGGAGAGUGUGCUGCCGUCGCUAUACCGUGUUGAGAUGUCAGAGAAGAUGAACGCACAGAAGAAACCGGUCCACCGCACCCCUGCCUGCCGUGCCACCAGCCGCCAAGACCCUCCUGCCGCCUCAUGAACAUGCCACCGGCCCAAUGACAUGAACAGGAGCCUGCUAACGAACAAUGCCACCUGUCAAUAAAUGAUGAAAAAUCA